rnacentral:misc_RNA from 1 species
UAACGAGCCCCACGUGGGACGGCGAGAAGCUCGCUCAUUGUGUUCGCUGUUGUUGCCGUCGUGUGUGGGUGUGGGUGUGUGUCUUGUGUCGUCCUCGGUGAUUGUCUUGGACCCUACUCCCUCUCUCUCAUCUUUACAGAGCAUCCUGCGCGUGCAUCGGGUGCAGGUCACAGACGACGUCUUGUUUGUGUGUGCGUAUCUUCUCUUCGCCAGUCGAGUGCGGUCACCGCCUCCGCCCCUUCCCCCAGCCACUCCCCCUUUCUCUGCAGCAGCGCCAUGCUACGCGCGCGUGCGCGAAGCGCUUACACGGUGGCGCGCUCUCCAGCGGCGCGGUGCUCGGCCGCCGCCGCGAUCGGCGCCGGCAGUGUCGUCCUCAACGGCAGCAGCGGGCUGGGAAGCGGCGUUGGCGCUGCGGCCGCCUCCGCCCCACUGCACGAGCCGCGCCGCUACUCCUUCAAGUACGCCACAAAGCGGCAGCACAACGAGGCGCGCCAGCCGUCGUACGUUCACGACAAGCGCUACGGCCUCUUCAGCAAUGAGCGCAACAUCGGCAAAUCCCGCCGCGGGCUGCCGCAUAUCACGCCGAUAUACACGAAGCACAUGAGCCUGUGGGAGACAGACACAGACGCGAGCACCAACCGGUUCUUCCGGCACUACGUCUUUGGUCAACGGGAGGAGCACCUGUUGCUCGGUCGUCCCCACGGCUUCGAGGCAGAUCAGGCUGGUGGCCGCCAGGGCGACUCGGCCUACGAGCUCAACACAGACCAGCGCUACAAGGGCGUGCCGCGGCCUGCCAUCACGAACCUGCACUACGAGCCGGUGUGGAACCAAACGCUCUACCGCAACACCGCGCACGGAAACCAGCUCACAAACCCGUCGUCGAAGCUGACGGCGGCGGUGCUGGGGCCGGAGUUGAUGGAGGUGCGCGACGUCAAGUCCGUGGAGCACUGCAAGGCGUGGUUCGACCGGCUUUCAUUCCUCAUCCAGCAGCACUACGACGCGGUCGGCGACAUCGGCGCGUUUCGCUCGCGGCACGCGCAGCACGUGCACGAGUUUUUUGUGGCCUUCCACGAUGCUCUGAGCAGCUUCGACUUCCAGGACCACUACCUGUACGACCAGUUUGCCAAGGCGCGGCCGAAGCACCUGGAGGACCUCUUCGCCAUCUUCCUGGAGAUGGAGGCGAACUACGUAAACGAGGACUACUGCCCUCGGUGCAGCUUGCCUUACGCGACGACGCGCUACUGCGGCGAGGGUGACCCAAACACGCCGUUUCGCAAGCACCGCGGCCGAUGGGCGCCGCAUCAGUACUGGGGCAAGGAGUGGUACGACGUCGUGAUGCGCCGUGCGGAGGCGCUGUGGUACCGCGCCACCGAGGACCCGUUCUUUGGCACGACGGCGCACACGCAGCGUCAGGUGGAGGCUCUCCUCUCCGUCUACAUCAAGACGAAGCACCGGGCCAAGAUGGUCGACUUCCUGCACGCGCUUCGUGGCUCAAAGGAGUUUCUGCUGGGGCAAGUGCAGAUCACGCCGACGAUGCAGAAGGCCGCGGAUGACCUGCUAGACAGCACACCACACGAGCACCUCCUCACGAACGCCUUCAAGCUAGAGAGCAGAGCCGCCAAGUAUACGGGUGACGCGCAGAGCGUGCCCCACUCGCCCCUGCAGAUGCGGCUGGACAUGGAGAUGAGCAAGUAUCGCCGACAGCAACGUGAGGAGGGCGUGGUGCGGGUGCCGCCUGCCUCGUGGAAGCUCGACACCUCCGCGAUUGUGCCUUACAAAGUCGACCCGCAGACGAAGCACGUGGCAAACUGGCGGGCCGUGAAGGAGGGCAUUGAGCAGUCCUUCCUCGCCACCGGUCUUCCCAAGGAAGCGUACACGAGUGAGGAGUGGCGCGAGAUGCUGUACCUGAAGGAGCGCAUCGCUAGUCGGGGCGCGCGGCGCGCGCAGCUGGAAGCCGAGCGCCAGGCGGAGGAGGCAGCCAUGGCGAAGAAGUACGGGCAGCACUCUCCUGCAGCGACUAGCAGCUCGUCGUGGUGCGUCUUCCCUGACACAGCGUGGUAUCGCGUAUUCGAGACCGCCGCGGAGGUGUUGAAGCCGUACGGCGUCACCCACGCCGGGCAGCGUGUGCUCGUGCGGAGUCGGGCGUACGCCAAUCCCGCGGCGGUGCCGUACACAGACCCGGUGCGCAACGCCUCCGUGUUGCUUGACACCACCCCGGAGGCGUGCGGCGUCUUUGGCGGAUUCGAGUCGGGCGAGGUGCUGCGCCUGACUCCAAAGGAGCCGGAGGGGGCCGCGGCGUUCGACGUGGUGGUGGUCGGCGUCGACAAGAGCGGUGCCGAGGCAGAGUGGAGCCUGUACGCCAUGCACCGCGAUGCUGCAUCGCAGACGAGCAAGGGACUGCUAAACCUCGGCGCGGACUGCCUGCAACUGCUGUCCAGCUACGCCAAGGUGGAGACGACGCGGAGGCGCGCUGUCGUGACGGUACUGGAUGCCGAGCGUACGCUGCCGGAGGAGCAUCUUGGCCAGGUCGUCGGCGUGCGUGGAGGCGAGCUGUACGUGCAGUGGCACCUGCAGCGCGGCGGGAGCUCUGAUCUCGACCGCAGCGUCGCUGUCCCGCUCGGCGACCCGGAGACGGUGAAGCAGAUGUACAAGCUGCAGACCCUGACAGACGCAGACGGGGCACCGGCGCUGCUGCAGGAGCCACCGUCGUGGCGCACGCCGUUCCGCAACGACUUCGUCGAUGAGCGUCUCAAGGAGCUUGAGCAGGCGCCGUUCAAGCGGGAGCAGUGGGCGUCUCUCAUCCAGGGCAAGUACACGCCCAAGGUGAAGAAGUACGGCUACGCGCAGCACACGACGCAAGACGACUUCCAGACGAAGGAGUACAAGGAUCGGCUGCUGGCGCGGCAGUACUUCCACAACCCGCAGGCGUUCUCUGUCAUCCCGGAGCGGCACGAGCGGUCGGUGAAGUUCAUGGGCAAGUGGGAGCACCAGCGUGUGUGUGGACUGCCGACAGUGGACCGGGAUGAGCUGGAGAAGGGCUGGGGCGAGGCGGAGGAGAUCACCGACGCCGCGGUGGGCGCGAUCGAGCAGGCGCUACGCGACAUCAGCGGCCGCCGGCCCGGCAACUUCGUCAAGUCACCGACGGAGACGCAGUCGCUGCGCCUCAACGAAUCGUGGUGGACGCCACUGGAGUUCGGCUGGGAGGAGCACAACCGCGAGCAGAUGGCCUUUCUCGACAGCAGUGAGCGCCGCAUCGUUGAAGGCGCUCAGCUGCCGUUUGGUGGCAAGCGACCGCCCUUCGGCACAACCUACGGCAUGGGUGAGCGCAUCAGCGAGAUUGCAGCAGACUACGCGAAGGGGUUUGGACUGGGCCCGAACGGGCACUCCCCACAGCACGACACGGCGCACUUCAACACGCUCGAGGCGGAGCAGCAACGCGUGAAGGUGCUCGGCCUCGGUAACGCACUUGUGCGGCUCUUCCACGAGAAGCUGGGCAGCCAGGACAUCCAAGCCUGGGCAUUGCAGCAGUGCGGUGAGUCCGACGCGAAUGUACGCCAGCUUCUACUCUCCGUGGAGGAGUGGCGCACGAAGGGGCGAGCACCGUCGCUUCUGCUGCGCAAGGUGUUGCAGCGGUACCUGAAGGAGGAGCUCGAUGACUUCAAUAGUGGACUUCCGGCUCACGUGCCGCGUCUCGCGGUGCCGUGCGCGGAUGCGUCUGCCGCCGACAGCAUUGGCAGCAGCAGUGCCGGAUGUAUCUGGGUGGACGUCGACCGCAACGCCUUCGCCCUGGAGCACGCGAGUCAGUUCCGUCGCGGUGACAGCGAUGAGUCGUACAUCGUCGGCCUCGUACAGCGCGCUGGUAUGAGCAGCGGCGGUGGCGGCGCCCUCGCCGCUUCGCCGGCGGGCAGCGGCGCCAACAACACUUACGCGGAGUACAUCCAACAGGAUGUGCUGCAGCGCUUUCAGAUCGGCCUGGCCCGCAUCGUCGGUCGCGGCAUCCCAAGCUCGAUCAUUAUGGAGCGCACUGUGAAGAGUAGCCGUGGCCUGGAGCGGGAGAGCGCGAAAAUGCUUACACUCGUGCUCGUCGGGGAACUGGCGAAACUGCUGUCGAAGAUGCGCGUCACACCGGACAACAUCUCCAUGGUGGUGCGCGGCCUGGCCCAGUGCCCCGAGAAGGAGCUGCUGGGCGGCGGCGACUUUGCUGUGCCGGUGUCGCUCAUCUUCAGCUGGAAUGGCCCGCAGUCGAAUGUCUCCACGGCGACCAGCAAUAGCAGUAGCAGCAACGCCAACGCCGGUGCUUCCCGCGGUGCCGGUAUCAGCGCGGUGCAGCAGAUGCUUGAGCGAACGCGGCACGGCUCCAGUCCCGGCAGCAGCGGCAGCGGCGACGGUGACAAGAUGGUCGGUAAGGUGCUGGAGGAGCUGGCGUGGAGCCAGGACGGGGUCGCUGCCGAUGUCCUCUACGCACUUCAGCAGAACAAGGCGAACCCCACGCUGCGGCAGGAGUUCCUGAACGCCUUCCUGCCCGUGUGCUCGAACGACCACCAGAAAGCGCAGCACAUGUACGCCGAAUACAUGCUGGGCAAGUUUGUGCCCAACAUUACGGUCGCCAUCGAGGCCUUUGUGAAAUUUCUGGGCAACAUCUCGACGCAACCGGAGCAGCUGACCAGUGAUGUGGAGUACUUUGAGGUGGACAACGCGCGCCGCGCGGAUGGCACAGAGGGAACGGGCCAGUAUACGCAGGUGCGCCUGCUGCCGCCGGAGAUAGGGCCAUUCCAGUACGAGAAUACCCUCAUCGAGUCCAUCGAGACAGCGGAGCGCUUCCGUCGGUACGGCAUCCUGGCCGGCCCAGCCCGCGUCCCCGCUUCUGGCUUCAUCGCGGCGAACUGUAAGUCGCUCACCUACAUGACGCAUCGCGACAAGGAGGUCGUCUACGUGACCACGGAGAACGACCAAGGGCUGGCCAACGCGCUGCGCAGCUCUGCCUUGUUCAAGAGCAUCGCCAGUAACCCGAAGCUAAGCUACCUCUUGAAAGGGAUCACCGGCGGCGCUCCGUCGCAUCCACUGUUGGUCGAUAGCUUCAACCGCUUCUUCUACCGUGUCGCGCCGAUGCUGAGCUUCUACCAGCGACUGCUAAAAGAGUACAGCGCCACAAUGCCGUCCGCCCAGGCCGAGGCGCAGAUCGCCAACUUUGGACUCGCCCGAGCCCUGGAGAACGAGGCGUCGACGGCCAUCGAGCAGGACUUCCGCCGCAACGCGGAGCGCUACUGGCGAAACGUGCUGGAGGGCCGUAGCACGGAAGAGGCCGCGCUGAGCAGUGGCGGUCGCGAGUCGGCCAGCGCGCAAGGCCGCCGACCUUCCCAGCAAGGGAGUGGGCGCGCCGGGCAGUCCGGCUCUGGCAGCCGCCGAGGCAGCGGCGAGUUCAACCUUGCCAGUGUCGUGGGCCACCGCGCUGCCGCCGGCGCGCGCAGCGAGAAAAGCCGAGCUCCUGCCUCAUCGUCCAGCAGUAGUAGCAGCAACAGCACCGUGGCGACGGCGGCAUCCGCGUCGACGCGUGUCAAGGGCUUGCUGGGUAGCUUGAAGGGCGGCGGCAGUGGAGCCGGCCGCGGAAAGGGCUCUCGUCCCGCCAGUCCGUCCGGCGUAGCCCGCGGCAGUCGUGGAGCACGCAGCAGCAGCAGCAACAACAACAGCGGGGAUAAUCGCGGCGCAAGCGGGAAAAAGUGAGGCGGCGUUGGCGCGCUCGUGCGCGUGAGUGUGUGGAAUGUUGCUGGUGUUGUUGGGUUGAUGGUUGUGGCAUGCUAUGACGUCCAUAGCAAGGAAAACAUGGUGAAGGGGGAUCGCGGCGGUCGUGCGACGGAGAGACUCCGCGUCCUUAGCUCGGUGACGAUAUGUUCCCUCGACAAUGAAAGACCGCAAGCACGUGCAGGAAAAGAAUACGAAGCAACGAAAGGGGAGGAGGGGGAGGCUCCCAAGGGGCUGCGCACGAUCUGGUUUUCUGUGCGGCUCUGCGAAGGCCGCGGCGGCUUGUAGUGACGAGAUGGCUCGCAACACUGUGGAGAUGGCGGGAAGUGCGAGCGAGAGAGCAUGUGUGCGUUGUUGUCAGGUGCCGCAACGAAGCGAUCUCGCCACUCCCUCCGUGUAGGUGUCUUCUCCCCCGCGCGCCAAAAAUGCCGCUGCGACUUCACCCGCGCCCUCCCCUUUCCUUUUUGGCGCCUCUCGUAACGUCGAGUUGGCCGGUGCAGGCGCGGAGUAUGCGGGGAAGCGACAAGUGGCGCACGUGCUCGGGUCCACAUGGUAUGCCCCCGUGCGCCACAUCCCCUUGCGUAUGAAACGCGUGGAUGACCGCGUCCGUGCGCGUCUCCCUUUAACUUCACCUCGGUCUCCCCUCCGCUCUCAUCCGUUGUUGUUGGCCGUUGGCGACGGCGUGAACGCAUCUUCUCUAUUUUCUCUCACGUCCUCUCGCCGGCCCUCGAGGCCCAAAACUGGUGGCGCAUAG